rnacentral:rRNA from 1 species
CCAGACUCCUACGGGAGGCAGCAGUGGGGGAUAUUGCACAAUGGGGGAAACCCUGAUGCAGCGACGCCGCGUGGGUGAAGAAGUAUUUCGGUAUGUAAAGCCCUAUCAGCAGGGAAGAAAGAAGACGGUACCUGACUAAGAAGCCCCGGCUAACUACGUGCCAGCAGCCGCGGUAAUACGUAGGGGGCGAGCGUUAUCCGGAUUCACUGGGCGUAAAGGGCGCGUAGGUGGGCGCUUAAGUCAGGUGUGAAAACUCCGGGCUCAACCUGGAGACUGCACUUGAAACUGGGUGUCUUGAGGGCAGGAGAGGAAAGUGGAAUUCCUAGUGUAGCGGUGAAAUGCGUAGAUAUUAGGAGGAACACCAGUGGCGAAGGGGACUUUCUGGACUGUACCUGACGCUGAGGCGCGAAAGCGUGGGUGGCGAACGGGAUUAGAUACCCCCGUAGAA